CUACGGGCCGCUGCAGUGAGGAAUAUUGCACAAUGGGGGGAACCCUGAUGCAGCAACGCCGCGUGGAGGAUGACGCAUUUCGGUGUGUAAACUCCUUUUAUAUGUCAAGAAAAUGACGGUAGCAUAUGAAUAAGCACCGGCUAACUCCGUGCCAGCAGCCGCGGUAAUACGGAGGGUGCAAGCGUUACUCGGAAUCACUGGGCGUAAAGGACGCGUAGGCGGGCUUGUAAGUCAGGUGUGAAAUCCUACAGCUUAACUGUAGAACUGCACUUGAAACUACGAGUCUAGAGUAUGGGAGGGGAAGAUGGAAUUAGUGGUGUAGGGGUAAUAUCCGUAGAUAUCACUAGGAAUACCUAAAGCGAAGGCGAUCUUCUGGAACAUAACUGACGCUAAGGCGUGAAAGCGUGGGGAGCAAACAGGAUUAGAUACCCUUGUAGUC
rnacentral:rRNA from 1 species